rfam:Ictidomys tridecemlineatus contig063570, whole genome shotgun sequence.
UUUUUACUAUAAGUAUGUCCCAUGCAAUAUUUGUAAUAUACUUACAUUAAAA